UGAUUUGUUGGACGCUAGCGGCGGAUGGGUGAGUAACACGUGGGCAAUCUGCCCUAAAGACUGGGAUACCACUUGGAAACAGGUGCUAAUACCGGAUAACAACAUGAAUCGCAUGAUUCAAGUUUGAAAGGCGGCGUAAGCUGUCACUUUAGGAUGAGCCCGCGGCGCAUUAGCUAGUUGGUGGGGUAAAGGCCUACCAAGGCAAUGAUGCGUAGCCGAGUUGAGAGACUGAUCGGCCACAUUGGGACUGAGACACGGCCCAAACUCCUACGGGAGGCAGCAGUAGGGAAUCUUCCACAAUGGACGCAAGUCUGAUGGAGCAACGCCGCGUGAGUGAAGAAGGUUUUCGGAUCGUAAAGCUCUGUUGUUGGUGAAGAAGGAUAGAGGCAGUAACUGGUCUUUAUUUGACGGUAAUCAACCAGAAAGUCACGGCUAACUACGUGCCAGCAGCCGCGGUAAUACGUAGGUGGCAAGCGUUGUCCGGAUUUAUUGGGCGUAAAGCGAGCGCAGGCGGAAUGAUAAGUCUGAUGUGAAAGCCCACGGCUCAACCGUGGAACUGCAUCGGAAACUGUCAUUCUUGAGUGCAGAAGAGGAGAGUGGAAUUCCAUGUGUAGCGGUGGAAUGCGUAGAUAUAUGGAAGAACACCAGUGGCGAAGGCGGCUCUCUGGUCUGCAACUGACGCUGAGGCUCGAAAGCAUGGGUAGCGAACAGGAUUAGAUACCCUGGUAGUCCAUGCCGUAAACGAUGAGCGCUAGGUGUUGGGGACUUUCCGGUCCUCAGUGCCGCAGCAAACGCAUUAAGCGCUCCGCCUGGGGAGUACGACCGCAAGGUUGAAACUCAAAGGAAUUGACGGGGGCCCGCACAAGCGGUGGAGCAUGUGGUUUAAUUCGAAGCAACGCGAAGAACCUUACCAGGUCUUGACAUCCUGCGCUACACCUAGAGAUAGGUGGUUCCCUUCGGGGACGCAGAGACAGGUGGUGCAUGGCUGUCGUCAGCUCGUGUCGUGAGAUGUUGGGUUAAGUCCCGCAACGAGCGCAACCCUUGUCUUUAGUUGCCAUCAUU
rnacentral:rRNA from 1 species